rnacentral:rRNA from 1 species
AACGCUAGCUACAGGCUUAACACAUGCAAGUCGAGGGGAAACGACAUCGAAAGCUUGCUUUUGAUGGGCGUCGACCGGCGCACGGGUGAGUAACGCGUAUCCAACCUGCCCACCACUUGGGGAUAACCUUGCGAAAGUAAGACUAAUACCCAAUGAUAUCUCUAGAAGACAUCUGAAAGAGAUUAAAGAUUUAUCGGUGAUGGAUGGGGAUGCGUCUGAUUAGCUUGUUGGCGGGGUAACGGCCCACCAAGGCGACGAUCAGUAGGGGUUCUGAGAGGAAGGUCCCCCACAUUGGAACUGAGACACGGUCCAAACUCCUACGGGAGGCAGCAGUGAGGAAUAUUGGUCAAUGGGCGAGAGCCUGAACCAGCCAAGUAGCGUGCAGGAUGACGGCCCUAUGGGUUGUAAACUGCUUUUAUAAGGGAAUAAAGUGAGAGUCGUGACUCUUUUUGCAUGUACCUUAUGAAUAAGGACCGGCUAAUUCCGUGCCAGCAGCCGCGGUAAUACGGAAGGUCCGGGCGUUAUCCGGAUUUAUUGGGUUUAAAGGGAGCGUAGGCCGGAGAUUAAGCGUGUUGUGAAAUGUAGACGCUCAACGUCUGCACUGCAGCGCGAACUGGUUUCCUUGAGUACGCACAAAGUGGGCGGAAUUCGUGGUGUAGCGGUGAAAUGCUUAGAUAUCACGAAGAACUCCGAUUG